rnacentral:rRNA from 1 species
UUCAGAGGUCCCGAGCGUUGUUCGGAUUUACUGGGCGUAAAGGGAGCGUAGGCGGUUCGGUAUGUCGAAUGUGAAAGCCCACAACUCAACUGUGGAAAUGCAUUCGAAACUGCCGGGCUAGAGUACUGGAGAGGAGAGCGGAAUUCUUGGUGUAGCGGUGAAAUGCGUAGAUAUCAGGAGGAACACCAGUUGCGAAGGCGGCUCUCUGGACUGUAACUGACACUGAGGCACGAAAGUGUGGGGAGCAAACAGGAUUAGAUA